rnacentral:rRNA from 1 species
UACGGAGGGUGCAAGCGUUAAUCGGAUUUACUGGGCGUAAAGCGUGCGCAGGCGGUAAUGUAAGACAGUUGUGAAAUCCCCGGGCUCAACCUGGGAACUGCAUCUGUGACUGCAUUGCUGGAGUACGGUAGAGGGGGAUGGAAUUCCGAGUGUAGAGGUGAAAUGCGUAGAGAUCCGGCGGAACACCGGAGGCGAAAGCGGUCUCCUGGGCCGAGAGCCGACGCUGAGGCGCGAAAGCGUGGGGAGCGAACAGG